UACGUAGGGGGCGAGCGUUGUCCGGAAUUAUUGGGCGUAAAGAGCGUGUAGGCUGUUCGGUAAGUCUGCUGUGAAAACUCGAGGCUUAACCUCGAGCUGUCGGCGGAAACCAUCUGGCUAGAGUCCGGAAGAGGAGAAUGGAAUUCCUGGUGUAGCGGUGGAAUGCGCAGAUAUCAGGAGGAACACCGGUGGCGAAGGCGGGAUCCUGGGCCAGUACUGACGCUGAGGAGCGAAAGCGUGGGGAGCAAACAGG
rnacentral:rRNA from 1 species